UACGGAGGUCUCAAGCGUUGUUCGGAUUCAUUGGGCGUAAAGGGUGCGUAGGUGGCGGGGUUAGUCAGGUGUGAAAUCUCGAGGCUCAACCUUGAAACUGCACUUGAUACUGCCUUGCUCGAGUACUGGAGAGGAGAUUGGAAUUUACGGUGUAGCAGUGAAAUGCGUAGAUAUCGUAAGGAAGACCAGUGGCGAAGGCGAAUCUCUGGACAGUUACUGACACUGAGGCACGAAGGCCAGGGGAGCAAACGGG
rnacentral:rRNA from 1 species